rnacentral:rRNA from 1 species
GAUGAACGCUAGCUACAGGCUUAACACAUGCAAGUCGAGGGACCGGCACACGGGUGAGUAACACGUAUACCACCUGCCCUUUACUCGGGGAUAGCUUUUCGACAGAAAGAUUAAUACCCGAUAUAAAGGAUGGGGAUGCGUUCCAUUAGGUUGUUGGUGAGGUAACGGCCCACCAAGCCUUCGAUGGCUAGGGGUUCUGAGAGGAAGUUCCCCCGCAUUGGAACUGAGACACGGUCCAAACUCGUACGGGGAGCAGCAGAGAGGAAGAUUGGGCAAUGGGCGGUAGCCUGAACCAGCCAAGUAGCGUGAAGGAUGAAGGCUUAUGAGUCGUAAACUUCUUUUAUAUAAGAAUAUGUAUUAUAUGAAUAAGGAUCGGCUAACGCCGUGCCAGCCGCCGCGGUAAUAC